GGGGAGGUAGCUCAGCCCGGGAGAGCACACGGCUGAAGACCGUGUGGCCGCGGAUUCAAAUUCCGCCCGCCCCA
rnacentral:tRNA from 1 species